CCAUCUAAAGCUAAAUAUAACCACGAGCCCGAUAGUCAACAAGUACAGUGAUGGAAAGUUGAAAAGUACUCUGAAGAGAGAGUCAAAUAGCCCGUGAAGCUGCCAGUAUGGGAUUAAGCGCACGUAUGACGCGUGUCGUCGGCCAAAUAGGCGACUGUUGGGUGUGCACACUGCGUGUGACUGUUGGCGGGCGUCUACGCUCGUCGGC
rnacentral:rRNA from 1 species